rnacentral:rRNA from 1 species
GUCGAACGGAAAGGCCCCUGCUUGCAGGGGUGCUCGAGUGGCGAACGGGUGAGUAACACGUGGGUGAUCUGCCCUGCACUUCGGGAUAAGCUUGGGAAACUGGGUCUAAUACCGGAUAGGACCAUCGUUUAGUGUCGGUGGUGGAAAGUUUUUUCGGUGUGGGAUGAGCUCGCGGCCUAUCAGCUUGUUGGUGGGGUAAUGGCCUACCAACGCGUCGACGGGUAGCCGGCCUGAGAGGGUGUACGGCCACAUUGGGACUGAGAUACGGCCCAGACUCUUACGGGAGGCAGCAGUGGGGAAUAUUGCACAAUGUGCGCAAGCCUGAUGCAGCGACGCCGCGUGGGGGAUGACGGCCUUCGGGUUGUAAACUCCUUUCGCCAAGGACGAAGAGAAUAUUGACGGUACUUGGAGAAGAAGCACCGGCUAACUACGUGCCAGCAGCCGCGGUAAUACGUAGGGUGCGAGCGUUGUCCGGAAUUACUGGGCGUAAAGAGCUCGUAGGUGGUUUGUCGCGUCGUCUGUGUAAGUCCGCAGCUUAACUGCGGGACUGCAGGCGAUACGGGCAUAACUUGAGUGCUGUAGGGGAGACCGGAAUUCCUGGUGUAGCGGUGGAAUGCGCAGAUAUCAGGAGGAACACCGAUGG